CUCGUGUGAGCAGCAGAGAGAAUCAGAGAGGAAUGAACUCAGAUGGUGAAGACACACAGAGCGCAGAAUCACAACCAUGAAUGCUGUAAAUGCUGUGCAGCUGUUCAUUCUGGUUUGGACCUUUACUGCUCUCUGUCAAGCUGAUAAAGAUAUCAGUGUAAACUGUGAGAAUGUGACUGGAUCUGUGGGGAAAGAAGUAACUCUCACCUGCAGUGUUUCUCUGCUGAUAAAUGAA